AAGUCGUAACAAGGUUUCCGUAGGUGAACCUGCGGAAGGAUCAUUAGCGAGUCUGGGUCUUCGGGCCCUCCUCCAACCCGUGUCUACACACCUACCUCCUCCGGGAUCGGUAGCCAACCAUGCUUCGGCAUCAAACAGCAAAACUUUCAACAACGGAUCUCUUGGCUCUGGCAUCGAUGAAGAACGCAGCGAAAUGCGAUAAGUAAUACGAAUUGCAGAAUUCCGUGAGUCAUCGAAUCUUUGAACGCACAUUGCGCCCUCUGGUAUUCCGGAGGGCAUGCCUGUCCGAGCGUCAUUCUCCACCGUCAAGCCCGGCUUGCCUUGGACCCCGUCGCGCCCGCGGCCGGUCCCAAACGAGUGUGGUGCACGCCGGUCAUCCGUGGACGCAACGAGCUUCGGCACGCGUCCGGGAUCGACCGACGUGGUCCCCCAAACAUCAUCAGUUGACCUCGGAUCAGGUAGGGAUACCCGCUGAACUUAAGCAUAUCAAUAAGCGGAGGAAAAGAAACCAACAGGGAUUGCCUCAGUAACGGCGAGUGAAGCGGCAUGAGCUCAAAUUUGAAAUCUGGUCCCGGUGGGGCCCGAGUUGUAAUUUGCAGAGGUAGCUUUGGGCGUGGUGGCGGUCUAAUUCGCUUGGAACAGCGUGUCAUGGAGGGUGAGAGCCCCGUCUGAGACCGCCGGCCGCGUCCGCGUAAAGCUCCUUCGACGAGUCGAGUUGUUUGGGAAUGCAGCUCCAAAUGGGUGGUAAAUUUCAUCUAAAGCUAAAUAUGGGCCAGAGACCGAUAGCGCACAAGUAGAGUGAUCGAAAGAUGAAAAGCACUUUGAAAAGAGAGUUAAACAGUAUGUGAAAUUGUUGAAAGGGAAGCGCUGGCCACCAGACUGGUGUGGGACGGCUCCCCCGACGAUCCGUCGGGCUACUCUGUUGCACCCCGGCCAGCAUCGGUUCGGGUGGUCGGUCACGGGCCCCGGGAAUGUAUCAACCUUCGGGUAGACUUAUAGCCCGGGGUACAUGCGGCCUACCCGGACCGAGGAACGCGCUCCGGCUCGGAUGCUGGCGUAAUGGUGGUCAGCGGCC
rnacentral:rRNA from 1 species